rnacentral:tRNA from 1 species
GCGGGUAUAGUUUAGNGGUAAAA